GACGUAGGGCGCGAGCGUUGUCCGGAUUUAUUGGGCGUAAAGAGCUCGUAGGCGGCUCGUUGCGUCGGCUGUGAAAACCCGCAGCUCAACUGUGGGCUUGCAGCCGAUACGGGCGGGCUGGGAUUCGGUAGGGGAGACUGGAAUUCCUGGUGUAGCGGUGAAAUGCGCAGAUAUCAGGAGGAACACCAAUGGCGAAGGCAGCUCGCUGGGACGUGACUGACGCUGAGACGCGAAAGCGUGGGGGAGCAAACAGG
rnacentral:rRNA from 1 species